GUCUACGGCCAUGCUACCCUGACCAAGCCCAAUCCCGUCUGAUCUCGGAAGCUAAGCAGGAUCGGGCCUGGUUAGUACUUGGAUGGGAGACCACCUAGGAAGACGAGAAAGAUAAGGGGUUGUAAACU
rnacentral:rRNA from 1 species